GACGAACGCUGGCGGCGUGCUUAACACAUGCAAGUCGAACGGAAAGGCCCUGCUUUUGUGGGGUGCUCGAGUGGCGAACGGGUGAGUAACACGUGAGUAACCUGCCCUUGACUUUGGGAUAACUUCAGGAAACUGGGGCUAAUACCGGAUAGGAGCUCCUGCUGCAUGGUGGGGGUUGGAAAGUUUCGGCGGUUGGGGAUGGACUCGCGGCUUAUCAGCUUGUUGGUGGGGUAGUGGCUUACCAAGGCUUUGACGGGUAGCCGGCCUGAGAGGGUGACCGGCCACCUUGGGACUGAGAUACGGCCCAGACUCCUACGGGAGACAGCAGGGGGGAAUAUUGCACAAUGGGCGGAAGCCUGAUGCAGCAACGCCGCGUGCGGGAUGACGGCCUUCGGGUUGUAAACCACUUUCGCCUGUGACGAAGCGUGAGUGACGGUAAUGGGUAAAGAAGCACCGGCUAACUACGUG
rnacentral:rRNA from 1 species